CAGGAUUGUCUACGGUCUUAUCCUCGUCGCCGUUGGUCACACCCACAAACAAGGCGAAGUCCAUUCCCCUCUCCUUACCCUUAGGCAAGAGUAGUCUGUUGGGGAUGCCACACGACCGUUCGAACUCGUGAAGGUCAAGUUCGCUGCCGCUUGCUAUAGCCUGGUCAGUUUUCGUCUUCAGUGUCUCAAAGCUUGGUCUGUCAGGGACUGUUACUGAAGAGUCAACGGACUUGCGAACAACGUGGU